UACGAAGGGUGCAAGCGUUACUCGGAAUUACUGGGCGUAAAGCGUGCGCAGGCGGCUAUGCAAGACAGAUGUGAAAUCCCCGGGCUCAACCUGGGAACUGCAUUUGUGACUGCAUGGCUAGAGUACGGCAGAGGGAGGUGGAAUUCCACGUGUAGCAGUGAAAUGCGUAGAGAUGUGGAGGAACACCGAUGGCGAAGGCAGCCUCCUGGGCCAGCACUGACGCUCAUGCACGAAAGCGUGGGGAGCAAACAGG
rnacentral:rRNA from 1 species